CCUGAUCAGCCAUGCCGCGUGAGUGAAGAAGGCCUUCGGGUUGUAAAGCUCUUUCAGCCGGAACGAAACGGUCACGGCUAAUAUCCGUGAUCACUGACGGUACCGGAAGAAGAAGCACCGGCUAACUACGUGCCAGCAGCCGCGGUAAUUGA
rnacentral:rRNA from 1 species